rnacentral:rRNA from 1 species
UUNUGAACUGGGUGACUAGAGUGUGUCAGAGGGAGGUAGAAUUCCACGUGUAGCAGUGAAAUGCGUAGAGAUGUGGAGGAAUACCGAUGGCGAAGGCAGCCUCCUGGGAUAACACUGACGUUCAUGCCCGAAAGCGUGGGUAGCAAACAGGAUUAGAUACCCUGGUAGUCCACGCCCUAAACGAUGUCGAUUAGCUGUUGGGCAGCAUGACUGCUUAGUAGCGAAGCUAACGCGUGAAAUCGACCGCCUGGGGAGUACGGUCGCAAGAUUAAAACUCAAAGGAAUUGACGGGGACCCGCACAAGCGGUGGAUGAUGUGGAUUAAUUCGAUGCAACGCGAAGAACCUUACAUGGUCUUGACAUGUACGGAACCCUCCAGAGACGGAGGGGUGCCUUCGGGAGCCGUAACACAGGUGCUGCAUGGCUGUCGUCAGCUCGUGUCGUGAGGUGUUGGGUUAAGUCCCGCAACAAGCGCAACCCUUGUCAUUAGUUGCCAUCAUUAAGUUGGGCACUCUAAUGAGACUGCCGGUGACGAGCCGGAGGAAGGUGGGGAUGACGUCAAGUCCUCAUGGCCCUUAUGACCAGGGCUUCACACGUCAUACAAUGGUCGGUACAGAGGGUAGCCAAGCCGCGAGGUGGAGCCAAUCUCACAAAACCGAUCGUAGUCCGGAUUGCACUCUGCAACUCGAGUGCAUGAAGUCGGAAUCGCUAGUAAUCGCAGGUCAGCAUACUGCGGUGAAUACGUUCCCGGGUCUUGUACACACCGCCCGUCACACCAUGGGAGUGGGGGAUACCAGAAGUAGGUAGGGUAACCGCAAGGAGCCCGCUU